GCUAGAAUGCGCGCCGUUGGUGCUCGUGCAGGCAUUGCGCCUGUGCAGUUAAACGGGAAUCAGGGAGUCGGCGUCUCAUCGGGACGCUUGCCAACCUGAGCUGUCCCCGCAACGGUAAGUGGCCGCCGGCCGCGCGCUCCGGAUCCUGAGCCUCAGGACCUCCCGAUCGCCGCCGGCACUGCCUGUCCCCAUGUCCACUGGAUACGGGGAAGGUCCGCGUGACUCCCGCGAGUCGAGCAGACCUUCCCCAUACUGGGAAGGACGCGGGCAGCGUGCCAUCAGCCCGGAUACCGGCCAACAGGUGGCGCGCCCA
rnacentral:ncRNA from 1 species